AUGCUCUGCGUGUGCAGUGCUGUUUUUCCCUUUGCUGGAGCAUCCAGUCUGCACCUCAGUCUCGGGUGGCAGCCCCCAGCUCUCCCUGCAUUCUUCCAUUCUGUGGCUGGCUUAAAACAGCUCCUCCACUCACGCUGGCUUCCCCGAAAGUUCGUGUUGACAGUUCAUUUGUGGGACAGGUGCUGCGGAAAUGGAGAGCAGCUUUUGGGGCCUGCACUGGUCUCUCGCCCUUGCUGGGCCUGUUUUCCCAGCUGUUGGUGGUGCUGGGCUCCACGGUGUCUCUUCACCUAUGAGGUGCACCCAUGUCCUCGCACCGUGUUGCUGGCCCAGCCAGCACUGGCGCAACUGAGCUCAGCGCUGCUUUUUCUCUUAGGGGCUCUGUCCUUGCAGCUGGCUCCAUCCAGACCAGUGAGCAGCAGUGCUGAUCCUCUGGGGAUGUCACCUGCCAUGUGUGUCCUCCCCAUGGAGGGCCCUAUAUUGGUGCAAGGGCAAGGGAUCCAGCAGUCAGCCUCAGCAGGCUGGCGGGACCGGCCAGGAGGAUGCCUGAGCAGGCCUGGGCACUGGGCCAUGCUCACUGUGCUCCGGGCAGUGUGGCCUCGUGGCUAUGCCCUGCCCACUGCAGUGAGCCUGGAUCUGAGCUCCAUAUACUUGUCCUGCUUCUUUUUACCCGUGAAAAACAAACAUCCUGGGCAGCCAGGGAGCAAGCCGGGAGGGAAAGUGCUGGUUUGUCACUGUAGUUGCCAAGCCCUCAUGGCCCCUGCCUGCUCCCCUGGGGCCCUGAAGGGCAACACUGGGCUGGGCCCGGCACACCCAAUCCCACCCUGUGCCUGGCCUCCGAUGCCUGGCCCCUGCCCUUUUCUGGAUAAGGCAUCACACACACCAGCCACUUCCAGGCUUAGGAUCUCUAACUUCAUGCACCCCCAGCCAGAACCUCAACCAGGCUUGUCCUCAGUUUUCACUCUGUCACGUGUAGCAGGCACCACCUUUGUUCCUGGCCAAUGUGGAUGUGAGUGGAGGCUGGACUGCUGGUCUGCAGACCAAUGUUGCCGGGAGCUCUCAGGCUAUGGUCACCUGUGCCUGCCUCAGGGUCUUGGGUACCCAUCAGUGGAGCAGCUUCUCACUCCCUGCUUGCUGGCCACACUGGCCAUGCCACACCUGCUGUGUGGCUACAAAUGGUCCCCCACCCUUUCUGGGCCUUGGCAUCUGCCUCUGUGA
rnacentral:lncRNA from 1 species